UGUUCCCCUUCUUCCUGGUGCAGGAAAGUGUGGAGAUGAGGAGAAACUCUUUCAAAAGCAAUACAGAACAGAAUACAACAAUAUAGGCAUUUUUCAAUGCAUUGCACUGGAUGUAUGUGGCAGAUGGCAUCCCACAGAAGCUGGAACACCAUUUCCCCAUGUCAGUAGUGCUCACAUCACUGUGCUUGGGUUCUUCGUAAUCGAGUCCUGCUACUCUUACAAUUUUACAACAUGCUAUAUAAAAUUAACACCUAUUCAUUAUUUUACAGGGGUGUACUUGAACAAUCAUGACCAGGAAAAGUCCGGAUUUCAGAAUUACUCUAAUUACUCUUCGUGGUGAUGAUCAUUUUGCUGCUCAUCCUUUUUGCCAUCUUAGUCUACCUUUUGGUUCACAAAUGGCUCAACAGGAGGAGAAAAAGGUCUCCACGGAAAGACAUUGAUGCACCUGCUCCCCAGAAUGCUUCCCACUUCAGUGAAGUGUGUUUGAGUCUUUCUCCAGAACAAAAAGCUCCAGCUGAGGUCAGUCCCUUCAAAUGAAGUCCUCUGUCUUUGGAUAACAUGAGAAUGAACUAAACCAUGGUAAGGCACUAUUUUUUUUUGUUUCAUGAUGGUUUUUGGUGCAGAAGUCAGUGAAGUUGUGUUCACAAACACCCAUUUGGAUUUCUCCCACCUGAUACUGGGUAGUACAGAUGUAUUUUUCAUGUCAUGACAUCUGGAAGUAGGGCUCUGUUAUGGAACUUGUCCCUUGUAAACACAUCACCGCUGCUCUAGUGCUUCUGGAGUCUCUUUAUCUGUGAGGUAAGAAGUCCUACAUAGGAGGUAAGCUGAUUGAGGGGACUGAGAGUGUAGGUCUUGUGUGUGUAAAGCAGUUCUUGCGUAUUGAGAUUACUCCAGACCAUUAUGACUGCUCCAGGUCAAAAACCAGCUGGUUUCAGGCCCCAUUGCCAAAAAGAAGUGUAGAGAUGCUGGAGCAGAACAGGCUGCAGCAUCUGACCUGGAGUGAGUUGGUCCAUGGGGUAAUUCAGAUUGGAAGGGUCCUCUGGAGGUCACCUAUCCAGCUGCUUGCACAAAGCAAGUCUAAUUCUGGCAGGUGGCUCAGGGCCUCGUACCUUUGAAUUUACAGCUUCCUCAUGUUUUGAAAUGUUGUUGUUCUUUCUUCAAGCCCUUGUGGUCACUGGUGCGCAUGGAGACUAAUAGGGGGGUCUCCUGUGGUAUUUGGGCUAUGUGAUGGCAUGAUGUGAGACCUGCAUGGAGAAAUGAAGCUGUGACCCUCCUGUGGACAAGCCACGGGCAGCACAGCCCCUUCCACCCGCUUUCUCUUGACCAGGCUUGGUUCCUGGUGGACUCUGGGUUAGCCAUGUGAUACGUGGUGAUACCCUUAUCACCAGUGGAUCUAGAGACAGGUGCCUUCCCUGAUUGCAGCAGAUAUUUUAAAAGCACUUUGCAAUGAUCUUUGGUUCUUCUGCCAUCGUGUGGCAGACAGAAG
rnacentral:lncRNA from 1 species